UUCUUUAUAGAACUAAAUUAAAGUAAAACCUGCUCAAUGUAAAAUAUAAAAAGCCGCAGUAAACCUGUGCUAAGGUAGCAUAAUAACUUGUUUCUUAAUUAGAAACUAGAAUGAAAGGUUACACGAUUAAAAUUUGUCUCUAAAAUAAAAUAAAAAAUUAAUAUAAAUGUUAAAAAUCAUUUAAAAAAAAGCAAGACGAUAAGACCCUAAUAAACUUAAAAAUUAGUUGGGGCAACAAUAUAAUUAUACUUUAUAGGUAUGUAUAUAACAUAACCAAACAAUCGCUAAAGAUAAGUUACUAUAGGGAUAACAGCGCUAUUUCUUUUAAGAAAUCUUAUCAAAAAAGAAGAUUACGACCUCGAUGUUGAAUUAAUUAAUCUUAAUGGUGCAAAAGCUAUUAAAGUAAGUCUGUUCGACUUUUA
rnacentral:rRNA from 1 species